GGGUGACCAGGGCCAUCUGGGACUGCCUCCUAAGGGAAUUCAGGCGUGUGAAGGCUACCUGUGUCCUGCAUAACUUAAUGAGGAUGGACACGAGGACCAGCAGGGGAUCUGUAGCUCGCCGUUGUGUGCCGGAGGAGAGGUCUGCUGCUCUGCAGGAUAUUUCAAGGAUUGGGGGGUCAACAACGCAGCACGGGAGGCAAUCCGUGUGCGGGAGAUCUUCACUCCCUACUUCUUCAGAGGGUUAUAUCAGCUGUCUCGGUGAACCCCUCCCGCAUCUGAACUGGCUACAUACAGGGCACAGCAUGAUGAGAGGUAUGUUUUGAUGUGAGAGGUUGCCAACCCCCCAGUCCUGUCAUCGCCACCUCACCUGCUCUGAAGAUAACCUUUGGGCCAACUGGGGGCCCAAGGCUGGUUAGUAGACACCAUGUAAUUGUGAUGAACGGAGAGAAUAUUAAGUUUAGUAGCACUAAUUCAUUAAUCAUAUGCUGUCUUCCCUGCUCCUCACUUCUUACCACUGUCCCUUUGUCUUUUACACCUCCCUUCUUUCUCUGUUUUUAUAAUGCACACCAGAUGUGCAUUGCAGUACUUCUUUCAAUAAAGUGUUUCACAUUCUCUGCUGGUUGAAAGUAAGUCUCUCAUUUGAUUAAAUACUACACCUAUCCUGUGUCCUCAGAUCAGUGCAGAUGAAGGAAAUUAGAUAUUGAGAUGAACAGGUUUUAGAGUAUUUACACGACGCAUAGAAGUUUAGUGUACUAUUUAUUUUAUUCUGUAUAUAUGAAUUACAAAUCAAUCUUUAACUAGUUAAAUCAUAUUUCUAGUCUUGCAUAGUUACAGUAUGUAACCAUUGAUGUCCCAGGACCAGGAUUGGUAAACACUUUUAAAGUGUAUAAUUGUAAUACAUACACGCAGGUAGAUACAGCAUCAUUCAAAGA